CAGAGGGGGCAAGCGUUGUUCGGAAUUACUGGGCGUAAAGGGCGCGUAGGCGGCCUGUUAAGUCGAACGUGAAAUCCCCGGGCUCAACCCGGGAACUGCGUCCGACACUGGCAGGCUUGAAUCCGGGAGAGGGAUGCGGAAUUCCAGGUGUAGCGGUGAAAUGCGUAGAUAUCUGGGGGAACACCGGUGGCGAAGGCGGCAUCCUGGACCGGCAUUGACGCUGAGGCGCGAAAGCCAGGGGAGCAAACGGGAUUAGAUACCCCGGUAGUCCUGGCCCUAAACGAUGAAUGCUUGGUGUGGCGGGUAUCGAUCCCUGCCGUGCCGAAGCUAACGCAUUAAGCAUUCCGCCUGGGGAGUACGGUCGCAAGGCUG
rnacentral:rRNA from 1 species